rnacentral:rRNA from 1 species
GACGAACGCUGGCGGCGUGCUUAACACAUGCAAGUCGAACGGAAAGGCCCUGCUUGCAGGGUGCUCGAGUGGCGAACGGGUGAGUAACACGUGGGUGAUCUGCCCCUUACUUUGGGAUAAGCCUGGGAAACUGGGUCUAAUACUGGAUAGGACCAUGCUGUAGGUGGUGUGGUGGAAAGAUUAGUUUCGGUAAGGGAUGAGCUCGCGGCCUAUCAGCUUGUUGGUGGGGUAAUGGCCUACCAAGGCGUCGACGGGUAGCCGGCCUGAGAGGGUGGACGGCCACAUUGGGACUGAGAUGCGGCCCAGAAGCCUACGGGAGGCAGCAGUGGGGAAUAGUGCACAAUGGGCGCAAGCCUGAUGCAGCGACGCCGCGUGGGGGAUGACGGCCUUCGGGUUGUAAACUCCUUUCAGCCAUGACGAAGCCCUUGUGGUGACGGUAGUGGUAGAAGAAGCACCGGCUAACUACGUG